UACGUAGGGCGCGAGCGUUGUCCGGAAUCAUUGGGCGUAAAGAGCGUGUAGGCGGCCUUGCAAGUCCGUUGUGAAAACUCGAGGCUCAACCUCGAGACGCCGGUGGAAACUGCAAAGCUAGAGUCCGGAAGAGGUGAGUGGAAUUCCGAGUGUAGAGGUGAAAUUCGUAGAUAUUCGGAGGAACACCAGUGGCGACGGCGGCUCACUGGUCCGGUACUGACGCUGAGGUGCGAAAGCGUGGGGAGCAAACAGG
rnacentral:rRNA from 1 species